GGCUGUAUUCGCUGAGCGUGGGUGGCUAGAUGACAGGACUCUUCUGGAGCGGACGGCUGCUGCUGCAAAAGCGGAAUAGGACUGACUGGACAAGGACUGAAUCACCAGGAAACGGGGAGUCAAGCUUUCUAAGAUCGAUGCGAACAAGGACAUGACAAGACAAGCUGACAACUGGAGUUGCGCUGGUCACGGCGGCUCGGUGGCGCACUGGAUAGCACGUCCGCCUCACAGUUAGGAGGGUGUGGGUUCUAUUCCACCUCCGGCCCACCCUGUGUGGAGUUUGCAUGUUCUCCCCGGGCCCGUGUGGGUUUUCUCCGGGCACACCGGAUUCCUCCCAAAUCCCCAAAACAUGCAUGGGUGUCCCCCGCCUACUGCCCAAUGACGGCUGGAAUAGGUUCCAGCACACCCGCGACCACCGUGGGGACUAAGCGGUUCAGAAAAUGAUGGCAUGGCAUGGUAUGAGGCAUACUGAUGUUUACUGUUUGCAUGAACAAUAUGUCAAAGGACAGAAUAGUAGGACACUUUUAGUAGGGAGUUUUGUGAUCUCAUGUGUGAAGGAGCGUAAUGGAACAGGUCCUGCAUUCAAGACACACAUUUAAUAUUAAAUAAUGUCUAAUUUACUAUGUUGUCGUAGUUAAGAGGCCAAAUAUUUGAUGUAACAUUUCCUCGGCUUGAAAUCAUAGAAGCAGUAAACCUAAACCAAAGUAAUUCUACAAAUGUUACAGAUUGCAAUAGUUGUUGUUGGUCUACUUUCUCUCCCAAGAGGCAGAGGUUGGUGGGGAGCAAAGACCUAUUCUCCAUUCAUGAUCAAAUCUUUACUGAGAGGUCCAACUCGUACCCGUUUUUUAGAGAAAUAGAAGCAGCAGAGCGGGACAGGGCUCGCCGGGGUGUCUUUUUGAAAGUGUCCAUCCAGCCUGUUGACGAAGACCUGCACAAAGCAUCAGUCAGCUGAAAGCUGCCUGUUGUCCACCUAAUCCUCACCGUGGCCCUGUUGCCAUUGACAACACCAGCAAACAAGAGACUCUUUCAGAAGUUGUUUUUUUCCACUGACACACUAACAGAAUGACAAUAA